AUUGAACGCUAGCGGGAUGCUUUACACAUGCAAGUCGAACGGAGUGGCGGACGGGUGAGUAAUAUAUUGGAACGUGCCCAGUAGCGGGGGAUAACUACUCGAAAGAGUGGAUAAUACCGCAUACUAUUGGAGCGGCCGAUCUCGGAUGAGCGAGUUUGGUGGGUAACGGCUCACCAAGGCAACGAUCCGUAGCUGGUUUGAGAGGAUGACCAGCCACACUGGGACGUAGACACGGCCCAGACUCCUACGGGAGGCAGCAGUGGGGAAUUUUGGACAAUGGGGGAAACCCUGAUCCAGCCAUCCCGCGUGUAUGAUGAAGGCCUGCGGGUUGUAAAGGACUUUUGGCAGAGAAGCGGUAUCUGCAGAAUAAGCACCGGCUAACUACGUGCCAGCAGCCGCGGUAAUUC
rnacentral:rRNA from 1 species